CUCCACGUAGCUCAGAGGAUAGAGCGUCCGCCUCCUAAGCGGAAGGUCGACGGUUCGAAUCCGUCCGUGGAGGCCA
rnacentral:tRNA from 1 species